rnacentral:tRNA from 1 species
GCAAAAGUGGCGUAAUUUGGUAGCCGCGUUACCUUGAGGUGGUAAUAAACCUUGUUUGUGUGGGUUCAAGUCCCACCUUUUGCA